rnacentral:rRNA from 1 species
ACAUGCCUACAACAUAGCGCUAAUGCACUGGAUCCCAUUAGAACUCUGCAGUUAAGCGCGCUCAUGCUAGAGUAGUACUAGGAUGGGUGACCGCCCGGGAAGUCCUAGUGUUUUACAUGCC